rnacentral:rRNA from 1 species
GAAGGCGGCCUUCUGGACAGUACUGACGCUGAGAUGCGAAAGCGUGGGGAGCAAACAGGAUUAGAUACCUGGUAGUCCACGCUGUAAACGAUGUCGAUUUGGAGUUUGUUGCCUAGAGUGAUGGGCUCCGAAGCUAACGCGAUAAAUCGACCGCUGGGGAGUACGGCCGCAAGGUUAAAACUCAAAUGAAUUGACGGGGGCCCGCACAAGCGGUGGAGCAUGUGGUUUAAUUCGAUGCAACGCGAAGAACCUUACCUGGUCUUGACAUCCAUAGAAUUCUGCAGGGAUGUGGGAGUGCCUUCGGGAACUAUGAGACAGGUGCUGCAUGGCUGUCGUCAGCUCGUGUUGUGAAAUGUUGGGUUAAGUCCCGCAACGAGCGCAACCCUUAUUCUUUGUUGCCAGCGAUUUGGUCGGGAACUCAAAGGAGACUGCCGUUGAUAAAGCGGAGGAAGGUGGGGACGACGUCAAGUCAUCAUGGCCCUUACGACCAGGGCUACACACGUGCUACAAUGGCGUAUACAAAGGGAAGCGAAGGUGCGAGCUGGAGCGGAUCUCAUAAAGUACGUCUAAGUUCGGAUUGGAGUCUGCAACUCGACUCCAUGAAGUCGGAAUCGCUAGUAAUCGUAGAUCAGAAUGCUACGGUGAAUACGUUCCCGGGCCUUGUACACACCGCCCGUCACACCAUGGGAGUGGGUUGCACCAGAAGUAGAUAGCUUAACCGCGAGGGGGGCGUUUACCACGGUGUGAUUCAUGACUGGGGUGAAGUCGUAACAAGGUAACCA